rnacentral:rRNA from 1 species
UACGUAGGGGGCGAGCGUUGUCCGGAAUACUGGGCGUAAAGCGUGCGCAGGCGGUGAUGUAAGACCGAUGUGAAAUCCCCGGGCUUAACCUGGGAACUGCAUUGGUGACUGCAUCGCUCGAGUAUGGCAGAGGGGGGUAGGAAUUCCACGUGUAGCAGUGAAAUGCGUAGAGAUGUGGAGGAAUACCGAUGGCGAAGGCAGCCCCCUGGGUCAUACUGACGCUCAUGCACGAAAGCGUGGGGGAGCAAACAGG